AGGGAAACCGAGUCUUAAYYGGGCGUUAAGUUGCAGGGUAUAGACCCGAAACCCGGUGAUCUAGCCAUGGGCAGGUUGAAGGUUGGGUAACACUAACUGGAGGACCGAACCGACUAAUGUUGAAAAAUUAGCGGAUGACCUGUGGCUGGGGGUGAAAGGCCAAUCAAACCGGGAGAUAGCUGGUUCUCCCCGAAAGCUAUUUAGGUAGCGCCUCGUGAAUUCAUCUCCGGGGGUAGAGCACUGUUUCGGCUAGGGGGCCAUCCCGGCUUACCAACCCGAUGCAAACUGCGAAUACCGGAGAAUGUUAUCACGGGAGACACACGGCGGGUGCUAACGUCCGUCGUGAAGAGGGAAACAACCCAGACCGCCAGCUAAGGUCCCAAAGUCAUGGUUAAGUGGGAAACGAUGUGGGAAGGCCCAGACAGCCAGGAUGUUGGCUUAGAAGCAGCCAUCAUUUAAAGAAAGCGUAAUAGCUCACUGGUCGAGUCGGCCUGCGCGGAAGAUGUAACGGGGCUAAACCAUGCACCGAAGCUGCGGCAGCGA
rnacentral:rRNA from 1 species